ensembl:rRNA 5S_rRNA 5S ribosomal RNA
CCACGUGGCCAUACCAGCCUGUUAUUGCCCGAUCUCGUAAGAUCUUGGAAGCUAAACAGGUCUGGGUCUGAUUAGUAAUUGGGUGGGAGACCACUGAGAAUUCCAGGUGCCACAUUGG